UGGGGAAUUUUGGACAAUGGGCGAAAGCCUGAUCCAGCAAUGCCGCGUGUGUGAAGAAGGCCUUCGGGUUGUAAAGCACUUUUUGUCCGGAAAGAAAUCCUUGGCUCUAAUACAGUCGGGGGAUGACGGUACCGGAAGAAUAAGCACCGGCUAACUACGUGCCAGCAGCCGCGGUAAUACGUAGGGUGCAAGCGUUAAUCGGAAUUACUGGGCGUAAAGCGUGCGCAGGCGGUUUGCUAAGACCGAUGUGAAAUCCCCGGGCUCAACCUGGGAACUGCAUUGGUGACUGGCAGGCUAGAGUAUGGCAGAGGGGGGUAGAAUUCCACGUGUAGCAGUGAAAUGCGUAGAGAUGUGGAGGAAUACCGAUGGCGAAGGCAGCCCCCUGGGCCAAUACUGACGCUCAUGCACGAAAGCGUGGGGGAGCAAACAGGAUUAGAUACCCUGGUAGUCCACGCCCUAAACGAUGUCAACUAGUUGUUGGGGAUUCAUUUCCUUAGUAACGUAGCUAACGCGUGAAGUUGACCGCCUGGGGAGUACGGUCGCAAGAUUAAAACUC
rnacentral:rRNA from 1 species